rnacentral:rRNA from 1 species
UACGGGGGGGGUAAGCGUUGUUCGGAAUUACUGGGCGUAAAGGGCUCGUAGGCGGCCAACUAAGUCAUACGUGAAAUCCCUCGGCUCAACCGAGGAACUGCAUCCGAUACUGGCGGGCUUGAAUCCGGGAGAGGGAUGUGGAAUUCCAGGUGUAGCGGUGAAAUGCGUAGAUAUCUGGAGGAACACCGGUGGCGAAGGCGGCAUCCUGGACCGGUAUUGGACGCUGAGGCGCGAAAGCUAGGGGAGCAAACGGG